CAGGUGAUUUCUUGGUCGACCCCGGACCACAGGAAGACUCAGGCCGAAUUCAAGAACACUACCAUACAGGUAGUGCAGGUGACCCCGUAUAUUGGUGAGGAGCAGGCUAUGGUUGACAAGGGUGCAUGAUUCUAUUUGCUAAGGGUUGCUACAGGAUUUCAUAGUUCAAGAUUGUUGCAGUUUACCUUGUUUCACAUGUAAUAUUAUGUCAAUUUUGUAUUCGUAAGAAUGGGGACAUUGGUUUGUAUAAGUCAUUAUGGGCAACCACUUGUAUAUUCUAAAUGAAAAUUGAAACUUUCCUUUUAGCUUA